rnacentral:rRNA from 1 species
UACAGAGGUCUCAAGCGUUGUUCGGAUUCAUUGGGCGUAAAGGGUGCGUAGGCGGCGCGGUAAGUCGGGUGUGAAAUCUCGGAGCUUAACUCCGAAACUGCAUUCGAUACUGCCGUGCUUGAGGACUGGAGAGGAGACUGGAAUUUACGGUGUAGCGGUGAAAUGCGUAGAUAUCGGGAGGAACACCGGUGGCGAAGGCGGUUCUCUGGGCCUGACCUGACGCUGAGGAGCGAAAGCGUGGGGAGCGAACAGG